CCCACUAUGCCAAACCCUAGAUGCCCCCAAUUCUCUCAUUCUCUCAAAUUAGCCACCUUACUUCGCCGUCUUCCACUACCCGAAAAUCGCCAUCCGGCGGCGGAUCAACACUAAUCCACCCAAAAAAUUAUCAAAUACUCCUCACCACCUCCUCACCCUUAAUCCAACAUCAUUUCCCCCCAAAAAACCUCCCAAUCCUGCCGAUUAGAAGACCUAGGAAUAAAAGUCCCAACUUUUUUGCCCCUUUGCUAAAUUACUAUCAACCCGACCUCCUCUUUACCUAAAUUUUACAUCAAAUGAUACGUCUCGGAAAGACCUUUCGUUUGAGGUCAUUUUUUUACCAUUUUUCGGUGGCCGAAACAUCGUUGACCGUCGUAGACAGGCCGAACUUCCCCAAACUUCAUCUUUUCUUCUUCAAUUCGGCUUGUAAUGAGCAUUGUUACAUGUAGCACUGGAUCGCAUAAACAUUUGUCGGCCAAUGCUCAUGUGACAAUCCUCUUUGCUCACCGGAGUUCUAUUGAUCGUCACCAGAAUUCAUUACAAUCACCGCAUUUCUUUGACGCUGAUCGGGUGUAUAGCAGAUUUGGAACUAUGUAAAAUGAGUGCAAAAAUACUAGAUAGUGAAUGAAUAUUCCACAGCCUAAAGGACCAGUUGAGACCGAUAAGUUGCCGAAGCAGGAAGCUGCAUUUGAUAAGUACUUGCCAAUAAUUGUAAGUUGUGAUCUUUUCGCCCAACCCAGAUGUUGUUUGGUUGAAUAACAAUUGUUGUCUUUAGUGCAUAUGGUCAGCAGAAGUUGUGGACAGCUGACAGAAGUCACAUUCAUUGUUAGUAAAAGAAUCUUGUCAAACUCAAACAGCAUGGUACAGGUUUUCAUUGCAGUCAAAGUCUUGUGGAACAACAUGAUACAAUGAGCCUAGACCAGUCCAAUUUUUAUGCCAUAUGUUGAAAAAUCGAGCAAAGGUUUUAUGCAGAUGUUCUAAGAUAUUGGUAGAUCAAGCACUGAUAGCAUGUGUGUUGGCAUACUUUGUAAAACUGAUGAAAUCAAAGUAGCUUUUCCUCCAUAUGAUAGCAGCUCACACUUCCAUGAAUACAGUUGAUUCUUGACCUUUUUAAUAAUAUUAUUGUAAUAUUCCUUUCUUCU